GAAUUGACGGGGGCCCGCACAAGCAGUGGAGUAUGUGGUUUAAUUCGAAGCAACGCGAAGAACCUUACCAGGGCUUGACAUCCCUCUGACCGGUGUAGAGAUACACCUUCCCUUCGGGGCAGGGGAGACAGGUGGUGCAUGGUUGUCGUCAGCUCGUGUCGUGAGAUGUUGGGUUAAGUCCCGCAACGAGCGCAACCCUUGUCGUUAGUUGCCAGCACUUUGGGUGGGCACUCUAACGAGACUGCCGGCGACAAGUCGGAGGAAGGUGGGGAUGACGUCAAAUCAUCAUGCCCCUUAUGUCCUGGGCUACACACGUGCUACAAUGGCGACUACAGAGGGAAGCAAAGCCGCGAGGUGGAGCAAAUCCCCAAAAGUCGUCCCAGUUCGGAUUGCAGGCUGCAACUCGCCUGCAUGAAGUCGGAAUUGCUAGUAAUGGCAGGUCAGCACACUGCCGUGAAUACGUUCCCGGGCCUUGUACACACCG
rnacentral:rRNA from 1 species